UAGCCUUGACAUACUACAGAAUUUGACAGAGAUGUUGAAGUGCCUUCGGGAGCUGUAAUACAGGUGCUGCACGGCUGUCGUCAGCUCGUGUCGUGAGAUGUUGGGUUAAGUCCCGCAACGAGCGCAACCCUCGUCCUUAGUUACUAACGGUUUGGCCGAGGACUCUAAGGAGACUGCCUUCGUAAGGAGGAGGAAGGUGAGGACGACGUCAAGUCAUCAUGGCCCUUACGGCUAGGGCAACACACGUGCUACAAUGGUUAGGACAAUGAGAAGCGAUACCGCGAGGUGGAGCAAAUCUAUAAACCUAAUCUCAGUUCGGAUAGCAGUCUGCAACUCGACUGCUUGAAGCUGGAAUCACUAGUAAUCGUAAAUCAGCUAUGUUACGGUGAAUACGUUCCCGGGUC
rnacentral:rRNA from 1 species